GUGCUCACUUCGGCAGCACAUACACUAAAAUUGGAAUGAUUCAGAGAAGAUUAGCAUGGCCCCUGCGUGAGGAUGACAUGUAAAUAUAAACACAGAGAAGUAUAUCAUUUUG